rnacentral:rRNA from 1 species
GUCAGCUUGCUGACUUUGAUGGCGACCGGCGCACGGGUGAGUAACGCGUAUCCCACUUGAGUGUUACCACGGCACAGCCCGUCGAAAGGCGGAUUCCUUCCGUAUGUGGUCCUUUGCGGGCAUCUAAUUAGGACUAAAGGUUCAGCGGUAACGGAUGGGGAUGCGUCCGAUUAGCUAGACGGCGGGGUAACGGCCCACCGUGGCUACGAUCGGUAGGGGUUCUGAGAGGAAGGUCCCCCACACUGGAGCUGAGACACGGUCCAGACUCCUACGGGAGGCAGCAGUGAGGAAUAUUGGUCAAUGGGCGUAAGCCUGAACCAGCCAAGUAGCGUGAGGGAAGACUGCCCUAUGGGUUGUAAACCUCUUUUGUGCGGGGAUAAAGUGUGGGACGUGUCCCAUAUUGCAGGUACCGCACGAAUAAGGACCGGCUAAUUCCGUGCCAGCAGCCGCGGUAAUACGGAAGGUCCGGGCGUUAUCCGGAUUUAUUGGGUUUAAAGGGAGCGCAGGCCGUCCUUUAAGCGUGCUGUGAAAUGCCGCGGCUCAACCGUGGCACUGCAGCGCGAACUGGAGGACUUGAGUACGCACGAGGUAGGCGGAAUUCGUGGUGUAGCGGUGAAAUGCUUAGAUAUCACGAAGAACUCCGAUUG